AUUGAACGCUGGCGGCAGGCUUAACACAUGCAAGUCGAGCGGGGGAAGGUAGCUUGCUACUGGACCUAGCGGCGGACGGGUGAGUAAUGCUUAGGAAUCUGCCUAUUAGUGGGGGACAACAUCUCGAAAGGGAUGCUAAUACCGCAUACGUCCUACGGGAGAAAGCAGGGGAUCUUCGGACCUUGCGCUAAUAGAUGAGCCUAAGUCGGAUUAGCUAGUUGGUGGGGUAAAGGCCUACCAAGGGGACGAUCUGUAGCGGGUCUGAGAGGAUGAUCCGCCACACUGGGACUGAGACACGGCCCAGACUCCUACGGGAGGCAGCAGUGGGGAAUAUUGGACAAUGGGGGGAACCCUGAUCCAGCCAUGCCGCGUGUGUGAAGAAGGCCUUAUGGUUGUAAAGCACUUUAAACGAGGAGGAGGCUACUCUAGUUAAUACCUAGGGAUAGUGGACGUUACUCGCAGAAUAAGCACCGGCUAACUCUGUGCCAGCCGCCGCGGUAA
rnacentral:rRNA from 1 species